GGAAGAAGAAACAGAAGAAGAAGAAGAAGAAGAAGAACAGCUAGCUUUUAGUUUUCUUCUUCUUCUUUUUCUUCGUUCCGUCCUUUUUCUUGCCCUU
rnacentral:ribozyme from 12 species